rnacentral:rRNA from 1 species
UGGGGAAUUUUGCACAAUGGGGGAAACCCUGAUGCAGCGACGCCGCGUGAUUUAGAAGGCCUUCGGGUUGUAAAAAUCUUUUGUAUGGGAAGAAAAUGACAGUACCAUACGAAUAAGGACCGGCUAAUUACGUGCCAGCAGCCGCGGUAAUACGUAAGGUCCGAGCGUUGUCCGGAAUCAUUGGGCGUAAAGGGUACGUAGGCGGAUAAGCAAGUUAGAAGUGAAAUCCUAUAGCUCAACUAUAGUAAGCUUUUAAAACUGCUCAUCUUGAGAUAUGGAAGGGAAAGUGGAAUUCCUAGUGUAGCGGUGAAAUGCGCAGAUAUUAGGAGGAAUACCGGUGGCGAAGGCGACUUUCUGGCCAUAAUCUGACGCUGAGGUACGAAAGCGUGGGUAGCAAACAGG